rnacentral:lncRNA from 1 species
UCGUGCAUUGGUGAGCUGUAGAGGCUUUAGCGGCGCUUCCUGUAAACGCCGCAAUAUAUCGAGAAUUCACGGUGUUUUUUAUAAAAUGCCACAAUAGGUGAAGCAUUAGCGGCGGUUGUCUAAAACGCCAUAAAAGUUUUGAGAAAUACGACGUCGUGCAUUGGUGAGCUGUAGAGGCUUUAGCGGCUUUAACGGCGCUUCCUG